rnacentral:tRNA from 2 species
GGAGGGGUGGCAGAGCGGCCUAAUGCGGUGGUCUUGAAAACCAUUAGCCUUCGCGGGCUCGCGGGUUCAAAUCCCGCCCCCUCCGCCA